rnacentral:lncRNA from 1 species
UAAAUUUGUGGCACAUUGGAAAGUGGGUUUUGGUUUUUGACAAAAAGGGGAUGUGAGGAGGUGGAAAAAGAAGGAGAGUGUUUGGCGGCGAGGUCGCCGGUGAAAGGACGGUUGUUUAGGAGGGUGGUGGCGGAGGUGGAACCGCAGUUGAUGAGGUAGUUGUCGGGAGGAGAGAAGAGGUGGGAAAAGACGGAGAGUGUAGAGAAGGAAAGGAAGAAGAGAAGAGAGAAGAGGUUGUUUUGGUUGAAGUUUUUCAUGGUGUGAAAGAUGUGGGAGGAGGAGG